GACCCAGUGGUGAAGUGAAUCACACCCGCACCGCCUAAAUAUGCAUCUCCAUCAACUGGAUGUGGGAGUCCUCUGUUCGAACCAGGGCUGGGUCC